UGUGUGUGUGUGUGUGUGUGUGUGUGUGUGUGUGGAUGAAUGCAGACGGGCUGAUAGGCGAGCAGAUGGAUGCGAUAAAAACAUGUGACGGUGAUCCCGCUCAGGAUUUAAUUUACGGUCAGAGAGGGAAAGGUGUGCGGGGGGAGGACGCACAGCGCGCGGGACAGCUCCUCUCUGCUUCUCUGCUCAUUUGACCAUUCUCCUGCAGGAUGGCGGUAAACCUUUCUCUGUGGGUCUCCACCCCCCCGGUCCCUCUUGAGAACUUCUCCCUCCUGAACUCGUCUGCCGCAGCCCCCCCUCCACCCUGGAAGGCUCCGACCUUCACGGUGGCCGCCCGCUGCCGGGUCGCAGCCACCCUGGUGCUGUUCGUGUUCGCGGCUGUCAGUAACCUGUCGGUGCUGAUCAGUGUGUGCUGUGGGCGGGGCUACCGCCUAGCGGCACACCUCCGCCCGCUCAUUGCCAGCCUGGCCUCAGCUGAUCUGGUGAUGACUUUCGUGGUGAUGCCGCUGGAUGCCGUUUGGAAUAUAACCGUGCAAUGGUACGCUGGGGACUUCAUGUGUAAGCUGCUGUGUUUCCUCAAGCUGUUCGCCAUGCAGGCAGCGGCCUUCAUCCUGGUGGUGGUGAGUCUAGACCGGUACCGGGCCAUCCUCCAUCCUCUGGACUCUCUGGACGCUGGGCUCCGGAACAGACGCAUGCUGCUGGGGGCCUGGACCCUUAGUCUGCUGCUGGCCUCUCCCCAGCUGUUUAUCUUUCGGGCCAUUAAAGCUGACGGAGUGGACUUCACUCAGUGUGUCACCCAUGGAAGCUUCCCGUAUCUGUGGCAGAAGACGGCAUACAACAUGUUUCACUUUGUGACGCUGUAUGUCUUCCCUCUGCUUGUCAUGACUUUCUGCUACACCUGCAUCCUCAUCAGGAUCAAUGGGCAAAUGCACAAGAGCAAAGAUGGGGAGCACUGCCUGAGGCGCAGCGGUACAGACAUGAUACCCAAAGCCCGGAUUAAGACCCUGAAGAUGACCGUUGUGAUCGUUAGCUCCUUCGUCAUCUGUUGGACUCCGUACUACCUCCUGGGGAUCUGGUACUGGUUCCAACCGAAGAUCAUCCAGCACACCCCGGAGUAUGUGCACCACAUACUGUUUGUGUUCGGCAACCUGAACACGUGCUGCGACCCGGUCAUCUACAGCUUCUACACGCCGUCUUUCCGCGCCGACCUGGCCGACGUGAUGGCGAGCUGCUGUCGUCGUCGCCGGAGCAACAAUGCCUCCCCCCGCUCUGUGGACCGCCUGUCUCGCCGCAGUGCCGGGGCCCCGGUGGAGAUGGAGUCUGACCUGAGCUCCAACCAGCACAGCGGGAACCCCAGCUGAACAGAGCAGAUCUGACGUAGGAAACACUCACUGCUGCAAUAUACCAGAUGUCCUUAGUGCUGUCUGAUGCUCAUCCAGGAGUACGUUUUUGGAACUUGUAGCCUAGAACAAUAGUCUGAUGCUGUGGAGACUGUGGCAUAUCGGUAUGUGAUCAGGGGAAGAGAAAAAAGCAGAGGUGGACACAUUCAGGAAGCAGUCUGCAGACGCAGAGACCAAGCUGUUGCUAAUGCUAACAGGUCAGCAAAUGCUAAUAGC